rnacentral:rRNA from 1 species
GACGUAGGGCGCGAGCGUUGUCCGGAUUUAUUGGGCGUAAAGAGCUCGUAGGCGGCUUGUCGCGUCGUCCGUGAAAACUUGGGGCUCAACCCCAAGCUUGCGGUCGAUACGGGCAGGCUAGAGUUCGGUAGGGGAGACUGGAAUUCCUGGUGUAGCGGUGAAAUGCGCAGAUAUCAGGAAGAACACCAGUGGCGAAAGCAGGCUCUGUCGG